UGUCCUGUCUUGCACCUCUUUGAUACUGAAAAUGACAGCUAUAGGCUAUUACAAACAGACUUCUGGACUUUGUGUAGAUGUAGAGGUCUGCAUGUGCAAAGCAUGAGGUUCAAAAUGUUAAUCUCAAAAACAUCAGUGUAAAAAAAGGCCAGGUGUCCUAUGAACUAAUUGGGAAGACAAAAGGAUAGAAGCGAUCUGAAGUGGCACAAGCCAGAGCACUUUAAUAUAGAAUUUUUCUGGGAGAUAGUGUCUUAUGCUUUGAGAAGCAUUGUCUUGAGGAAAUGAGUAGCUCAGCUUGUAUUUACACUGCUGUUAAUUAAAAGGGGAUUGAAGGACAUUUCCAUUACAUGGUUUUUCUCUUAAGCUUCAAUUACAACUUUUGUUUUAAAAGGAUAAUUUCUAAAAAGGAUCAUAAUUUAGUGUCCAGUAAAGUACACAGGUUUCGUAAGUAAAUGUUUAAACAAGAAUAAUGCAAGUCUAUUAGCUAAGACUUACUGAGGUAGAAAUCCAUCUGGUAUAAUUAAUUAUAUACAGGUAUUUGGCAUUUGUCACAGAGCAGUUUAAAUAGAUGUAACAAAUGCAACUUUGUAAUUUUUUAAUUUUUUUUUUUAAGGUUCGUAUCAUUCAGUAUGGCUGUUCACAGCCUGGGUCUGUGGCUUUGCUUUUCUAGAAAACAACCCAGCCAAAUGCCCCACAAACUAAGAAGUGUCACUGCCUGUUAUUCACUAACAGCCCUAUUAGAAAGAGGCUUGAAAUACAAGAUCAUGAAUGCUAAGUGUUUUUUACAUCAAGUGUUCUUGGAACAUCUAGACUGAGGUCUCCAAUGUGAAAUGACUGAACAUUGUUUAUGGAAGUUCCUGCCUCAAAAUAGGAUGCUGACAAGAAUAUUUAUUGCAGUAUCUGUGUGCAUUAAAUCUAUAUGAGCCAGUUUAUAGAAUGGUUCUACAGAGCCUGAAAGGAAAGGAAAACAUCUGGGAGACUUCUAGUCCCAUUGGUGUAAGUGCUGAAUAUGGUGCAGAAGUAUCAAUUCUGCGUUAGUUAAUACCAAUGUAAUGCAAAGAGUUGCUAUUAAUAGUAAGUUGUUAGUAUCACUGAAUUAAUGAAUUCAGAUACUUAAAGAAAAUAAUAAAGUGUGUGUGACACCUCCCUGCUUUGUCUUGCUUUACUCUAUUUAUUUUGUGGGCUAACUAAUAUUAGACAUACCAGCUAAGAGGAGCACUAAAACUGCUGUUUUUAAGAAUGUUUUUAACUAAUCAAUAAGAAAAUGAUGUAAAACUCUUAAGUUAUGGUAGAAAUGUACAUGUAGGUGGAAGUCUAUGUGGCCUGUCUUGCACCUUGCUAAUCAGUGAUGCCAAAAUUUGAAGGUUUUGGGUUCAGGUUUUCAAGUCAGAAGUUAAAAUAGUUUCCAUUUUGUUAAAGAUUGUAAUGUGUUACCUGUUCCUGGAACUUUUCUUGCUUUCUGGUCUUUGCACCAAGAAAGCGAUGAGGUUGGGAGGAGCACGUAAAGCUAGCAGCUAUUAACUGGAAUCUGUUAUAAGGCUGCAUGAGGAAUUUCCCAAGCUUACCAAAAGAAUACUUCAGAAAGAGAAGACUAAAGAUCUAUGGAAUACUUAGUGCUGGUGAUCUAAGAAGCAGACCUUGAACUGCUCGGUUUUCAUCAGCUGUACCAAAGGGAAAAGAGCAAAAGCUUGUUUUUACUACUAAGCUGAGUGAAUAUGGCAUGGAAAUCUUGUAAUGGCAAGGUAUCAAUUUUGUAAAGUGAUAUAUUUCAGAGGGGAUACUAAAUUCGACUGUGAAUAAAAAGCUUUAUAAAUGGAA